GGGAUAACUAUUGGAAACGAUAGCUAAUACCGCAUAACAAUGGAUGACACAUGUCAUUUAUUUGAAAGGGGCAAUUGCUCCACUACAAGAUGGACCUGCGUUGUAUUAGCUAGUAGGUGAGGUAAUGGCUCACCUAGGCGACGAUACAUAGCCGACCUGAGAGGGUGAUCGGCCACACUGGGACUGAGACACGGCCCAGACUCCUACGGGAGGCAGCAGUAGGGAAUCUUCGGCAAUGGGGGCAACCCUGACCGAGCAACGCCGCGUGAGUGAAGAAGGUUUUCGGAUCGUAAAGCUCUGUUGUAAGUCAAGAACGAGUGUGAGAGUGGAAAGUUCACACUGUGACGGUAGCUUACCAGAAAGGGACGGCUAACUACGUGCCAGCAGCCGCGGUAAUACGUAGGUCCCGAGCGUUGUCCGGAUUUAUUGGGCGUAAAGCGAGCGCAGGCGGUUUGAUAAGUCUGAAGUUAAAGGCUGUGGCUCAACCAUAGUUCGCUUUGGAAACUGUCAAACUUGAGUGCAGAAGGGGAGAGUGGAAUUCCAUGUGUAGCGGUGAAAUGCGUAGAUAUAUGGAGGAACACCGGUGGCGAAAGCGGCUCUCUGGUCUGUAACUGACGCUGAGGCUCGAAAGCGUGGGGAGCGAACAGGAUUAGAUACCCUGGUAGUCCACGCCGUAA
rnacentral:rRNA from 1 species